CCUGUGGUAGCGGCUGAGAUUUCUCCUGCUCGCUUCAGGCGCAGUGGAUUUUUGUGCAUUUUUUAGGAAAAGUGAAAUGUCGUGAACAUACUGAUUAAUAACAGAUGAUCGAUCGAGUCUUGGUCACAUUGAUUGAUAAAGAAAGUCAUGUAAGUGGAUUUCCACACUGAGCUGAGCAUUGCAGUGUCCUGCAGUUUCUGAGAAGCAUCCUGUUGGGCGGUCUGUACCCGUGCACCGUGUUUACAGCUUUGAACACCAUGCUGAAACUGGGGACCAGCUGUAUACUUGGGCAGCAUCCAGCCACCCCACCUCACUCUGUGGACCAGUACAAGGGCCACUUCUGGUCCCUGUGACCCCUGAGAUAUACUGGGACUGGGAGUAGAAUCUGUGUGGAGUUUGCAUAUUAUUU